GACGUAGGGCGCGAGCGUUGUCCGGAUUUAUUGGGCGUAAAGAGCUCGUAGGCGGCUUGUCGCGUCGUUCGUGAAAACCUGCAGCUCAACUGCAGGCUUGCGGUCGAUACGGGCAGGCUAGAGUUCGGUAGGGGAGACUGGAAUUCCUGGUGUAGCGGUGAAAUGCGCAGAUAUCAGGAGGAACACCGGUGGCGAAGGCGGGUCUCUGGACCGUAACUGACGC
rnacentral:rRNA from 1 species